GAUGUUUUCUAAUCAAUCUGCCAUUGAAGCUCCUUAUUGGCUAAUCACACCUGAUCCAGGUAAUCCACAGCAGAUGAGGCAGGAUUUCUGAAAAACCAGCAGGGGGUCGGCCCUCGAGGCCUGGAGUUUGACACCCCUGAUAUAGAA
rnacentral:snoRNA from 1 species